UACACCCUAAAAUGGAAAGGCACCUUUUAACUUCUCAUAAUUUCUCUCCGUUUAUUCCUCUUCUUUUUCCCAGCGUUACCUUUUGCUCUUGCUUUUCCCACAAUCUAUACUCAUGGCUACCAUUGCCAAAGUGAAGAACAGCAAGAUGUACUUAACUGAUUUUAUAGGAUUUCUAAUUCGGGGCAAUACUGCCCGCCUAAAGGGGUAUUGCGAAUCUUAACCAUGAAAUACUUGAACCAAGAAAUUCCCAUGAUUGUGAUGUGUUGUUCAGAAAUUGAAGAAUUGAGGCUAUUUCCCUUUUGACACGAGGAUUUGAGUAAAGAAAUUAAGAAUGGAAUAAGGAAACAAUUGGUUAUCAUCAUUUUUCUGAAUUCCGAAGUAGAGUUGCAAAGAAAUUAAGGAAAACUCCUACUAUUUAAAUUCACGACUUUAUUAAAAUUGAAUCCACCAGCUACAUCAAAUUCAAAUAACGUGUGCUUACUGGAUUUACACCGACGAUCGGAUACAAUUGCCGUCUCUGCCUCUGCUCGCCACAACAGGCCCUCGAAACGAAUACGGUGAUUGGAAAAGCUGUGAAGAUUGCUGAGGCUAUUAACUAUGUGCAACCUUCCACCGCCGAGUUGAGUUUAUCUCAAAGAAGUUAUCUGAAUUCGGGAAUGGACUUCAACGUGAAAUGUCUUCUCUCCAGGCAUGCAAAUCACUCAAAGAAUAUGUUGUUAUGAGUUUUUGACUUCUUGAAUAUAAUUUUUAAUGGAUUUUGUGACAAUUUCAGAUGAUUCAAUCCAUUGGAUUGUUUCAUCAUACUAACAGAAGAAAGUUGCAGAGUUCGGAUUUUGGAGUGAUGAGGCUGGUUUAGAAGAAAAUUUAGUUCCUCCAGAUCUGUUGAAAAUAACAAAAGCCAGGAUGUACAAAAGAGCUCUUUAGUACAAACGUUAUUAUGUAAUCGGUAAUUUAUACUUUCCUCCUCCCUCUCUCUUAGAUUUAGAAAUUCC